UUUUGCCUGAUGACUGAAUCUCAAACCAAUCUAUGAAGGACAAACCUAGCCUUACCUUAUGCAGCACCAAUAAACUCUUCUUUAAUACAACUCACCUCAUCCUCCCUUUUUCUCAUAAAAACCCUAAACGUCUCCCCUGUAAUUGGGAUACUGCUUGGGGUUUCCACCUGAAUCUGUGAUCCCUGAAUUGCAAUUCUUUGACCCCAAUCAAAUGCUUCACCUAUCAAACUGGUUUCUGUUUUUGUAGGUUGACACAGCAAAAUCAAAGAAAAGGAGAAAUUCAUUUUCAUAGAAGUAUGGUGUAGCUGGUGUCCAGUGCUGGAGCACCAUCAACCACAAGGGAUUGUAUACUCACAUUAUUUACAUCAUUCUGAUUAGAGUGUGCUUAUGAACCAUUUUAUAAAGGCAAACUACAAAAGUGUCAGAGUCUCUUCCCGCAUCACUGUCAUCUUUAAUAUUAUCGUGAUUCUGGAGAUACAGGAAGCGUGAACCAAUGGAGACUUUCUUCAAGGUGCUGCUGUUUCAACAACUCAACCUUGACUUUUCUUUGGGAAGAGUGCUGAUUGUGGUUUGUGUUAAG
rnacentral:lncRNA from 1 species